UAGGGAAUCUUCCGCAAUGGACGCAAGUCUGACGGAGCAACGCCGCGUGAGUGAAGAAGGAUUUCGGUUCGUAAAACUCUGUUGUUAGAGAAGAACAGCGCAUAGAGUAACUGUUAUGCGUGUGACGGUAUCUAACCAGAAAGCCACGGCUAACUACGUGCCAGCAGCCGCGGUAAUACGUAGGUGGCAAGCGUUGUCCGGAUUUAUUGGGCGUAAAGCGAGCGCAGGCGGUCAAUUAAGUCUGAUGUGAAAGCCCCCGGCUCAACCGGGGAGGGUCAUUGGAAACUGGUUGACUUGAGUGCAGAAGAGGAGAGUGGAAUUCCAUGUGUAGCGGUGAAAUGCGUAGAUAUAUGGAGGAAAACCAGGGGCGAAGGCGACUCUCUGGUCUGUAACUGACGCGGAGGCUCGAAAGCGUGGGUAGCAAACAGG
rnacentral:rRNA from 1 species